rnacentral:siRNA from 1 species
CUGCGGACACUACUAGCUUUCC